rnacentral:rRNA from 1 species
CGCAGCCGCGGUAAUUCCAGCUCCAAUAGCGUAUAUUAAAGUUGUUGCAGUUAAAAAGCUCGUAGUUGAAUUUCGGGGUUAGUAGGUUGGUCAUGCCUCUGGUAUGUACUGGUCUCACUGAUUCCUCCUUCCUGAUGAACCUUAAUGCCAUUAAUUUGGUGUUUUGGGGAAUUUGGACUGUUACUUUGAAAAAAUUAGAGUGUUUAAAGCAAGCUAACGCUUGAAUACAUUAGCAUGGAAUAAUGAAAUAGGACGUUCGAUCCUAUUUUGUUGGUUUCUAGGAUUGACGUAAUGAUUAAUAGGGAUAGUUGGGGGCAUUAGUAUUCAAUUGUCAGAGGUGAAAUCCUUGGAUUUAUUGAAGACUAACUACUGCGAAAGCAUUUGCCAAGGAUGUUUUCAUUAAUCAAGAACGAAAGUUAGGGGAUCGAAGACGAUCAGAUACCGUCGUAGUCUUAACCAUAAACUAUGCCGACUAGGGAUCGGAUGAUGUUAAUUUUUUAAUGACUCA